AUUGAACGCUGGCGGAAUGCUUUACACAUGCAAGUCGAACGGUAGAGGGGGCAACCCCUCGAGAGUGGCGAACGGGUGAGUAAUAUAUCGGAACGUGCCCAGUCGUGGGGGAUAACGUAGCGAAAGUUACGCUAAUACCGCAUACGAUCUAAGGAUGAAAGCGGGGGAUCGCAAGACCUCGCGCGAUUGGAGCGGCCGAUAUCAGAUUAGGUAGUUGGUGGGGGAAAGGCACAGCAAGCCAACGAUCUGUAGCUGGUCUGAGAGGACAACCAGCCACACGGGAAGUGAGACACUGUCAAGACUCCUACGGGAGGCAGCAGUGGGGAAUUUUGGACAAUGGACGCAAGUCUGAUCCAGCCAUUCCGCGUGCAGGAUGAAGGCCCUCGGGUUGUAAACUGCUUUUGUACGGAACGAAAAGGUCUCUCUUAAUACGGGGGGCUCAUGACGGUACCGUAAGAAUAAGCACCGGCUAACUACGUGCCAGCCGCCGCCCGUAA
rnacentral:rRNA from 1 species